rfam:Triticum aestivum genome assembly, contig: Triticum_aestivum_CS42_TGACv1_scaffold_499662_6BL
AUACUACUCCCUCCGUCCCGAAUAACUUGUCGCGGAAAUAGAUGUAUCUACACAUAUGUUUAGCUCUAGAUGCAUCAUUUCUAUCCAUUUCUGUGACAAGUAAUUCGGGACGGAGGGAGUAAUAA